AAUUAAUGGAGUUGGAUUUUAUGUUAGUCAAAUUUUUGUGACUGCUGGUAAACCCAUUUCUGUGUAUUUUUAAUUUCAUGUAUUUAUUACUAUUAUUUUUUAGUUUUUAUCUUUGUUGUUGACCAAUAAUUUUGUUAUGAAAUCUGCAGGACUUUCUUCUGGGACACUUGGAACCAUUGCUUAUGCUUGUAUUCAGGUAUUUGACAUUGGCUUGUUUCCAAAAGAAAAGUAAAAGC
rnacentral:lncRNA from 1 species